UGCCGUCCGUUCAAGAUAUGC
rnacentral:siRNA from 1 species